CACGGUCCAAACUCCUACGGGAGGCAGCAGUGAGGAAUAUUGGUCAAUGGGCGCAAGCCUGAACCAGCCAAGUAGCGUGCAGGAAGACGGCCCUAUGGGUUGUAAACUGCUUUUAUACGAGAAUAAUUUGAUGCACGUGUGCGUUAUUGCAUGUAUCGUAUGAAUAAGGACCGGCUAAUUCCGUGCCAGCAGCCGCGGUAAUACGGAAGGUCCAGGCGUUAUCCGGAUUUAUUGGGUUUAAAGGGAGUGUAGGCGGUUUGUUAAGCGUGUUGUGAAAUUUAGAUGCUCAACAUUUAACUUGCAGCGCGAACUGUCAGACUUGAGUACACGCAACGUAUGCGGAAUUCAUGGUGUAGCGGUGAAAUGCUUAGAUAUCAUGAAGAACUCCGAUUGCGAAGGCAGCAUACGGGAGUGUAACUGACGCUUAAGCUCGAAGGUGCGGGUAUCGAACAGGAUUAGAUACCCUGGUAGUCCGCACAGUAAACGAUGGAUGCCCGCUGUUAGCGCCUGGCGUUAGCGGCUAAGCGAAAGCAUUAAGCAUCCCACCUGGGGAGUACGCCGGCAACGGUGAAACUCAAAGGAAUUGACGGC
rnacentral:rRNA from 1 species